rnacentral:rRNA from 1 species
UUGAACGCUGGCGGCAGGCCUAACACAUGCCAGUCGAGCGGCAGCGGGAAAGUAGCUUGCUACUUUUGCCGGCGAGCGGCGGACGGGUGAGUAAUGCCUGGGAAAUUGCCCAGUCGAGGGGGAUAACAGUUGGAAACGACUGCUAAUACCGCAUACGCCCUACGGGGGAAAGCAGGGGACCUUCGGGCCUUGCGCGAUUGGAUAUGCCCAGGUGGGAUUAGCUAGUUGGUGAGGUAAUGGCUCACCAAGGCGACGAUCCCUAGCUGGUCUGAGAGGAUGAUCAGCCACACUGGAACUGAGACACGGUCCAGACUCCUACGGGAGGCAGCAGUGGGGAAUAUUGCACAAUGGGGGAAACCCUGAUGCAGCCAUGCCGCGUGUGUGAAGAAGGCCUUCGGGUUGUAAAGCACUUUCAGCGAGGAGGAAAGGUCAGUAGCUAAUAUCUGCUGGCUGUGACGUUACUCGCAGAAGAAGCACCGGCUAACUCCGUG